AUGGAUAACUAAUUCCUGUACCAUGACAAUGAAUGGUCUUGUGAUCUACUAUAAAUAUCCAGAGCUAGGCAUCCCUCUCUGGCAUCUCUAAAUGUAGACUUUCUAAGAAACCCCAAGUGCAGCCAGACUCCUUUAGUCAACUACUUUUAAGAGAUUGGGUCAAGAUCUAGGAGUCCCCAAGAAGAACUUUACCAGAGAUACUCUGAGAAGAAGGGUGACAAGAUUUUUCCACUUACAAAACUCAGAGAUUGCAGUAAAGACUUAAAAAACGCCUAAUUGGUGAAAAUCAGCUACACCAGACAACAACCCAACAGAUUGGUCAGCUGCUUCUAAAAAUCAGGUCGACAAUAGCACCACCAACUGAGAUGAUUGUGCAGAUCCCUCUGCAAAACAUUCUUCGGGUCUGAGUAUAUGCAAAGUUUCCCUGUUUACACAGAACCAUCUGGACUUGGAGAAGUAAUAUUCAAAGCCUGUGAACUGUGUCACUGGCAAGUGACAAAUUUUAUUCUGUACUAAACUGGUUCUUCAGAACUGAGACAAGGCUUAGAAUAGAGGGAAGGGGAGACAACUGGCCCUCAACAAAUUCCACUGAGGUGUGAACAAUUCAAAGUUAACUCCCAGUUGCGGGAUAGACCUCUACAGUGUUGCUAAACUAAUCCUGUUUUAACAUUAUGUUUAAUUGCCUCUCUACUAUUCCUAUUUAAUGCUAGUAGGUUUAUUUACCAUUUAAGUACUAAGAGCUUACAAAGUUAAAUUUGUUAAUUAGACCAUUAUUAAUUUGUUGAUAAGGUGUUCUUCCAUUGCUGUUACUAUAUGUUCUUAGGUACAGAGACUCGAAACUAGGGGGUAAAUAAGUGUCAAAUUAAUUUUCUCAGACUGACAUUUUCAUUCUGAAGGUAACAUUGUUAUAAAGACUUACUGUCCCUAUAAUGAUGUUUAAUGCUGUUGAUUUUGUUAACUAAUCCUACUAUCUUGCCACAAAGAUGUCUUUAGAAAAGUGGUGUUGCCCUGAUUGUAAAGAGCCAUGUCUCCCCACUCUGGCUCUAGGACACUGGUUACAACAGACUAGACUUGUUCAAAAUGAUUAUUCUGAAGCUGACCUAGAUCGAAUGUUUAGAGCUAGUUUUUGCCCUCAAUGUCACCACACAAUUGCAGGCCUUACUCAGCCUCCUUUUCCAAUUGAGUGGGCUCCCUCAAAUUUUACCAGGUGGACCCAGGAGAAGGCCUUCCAUCCCAUUCACCAAGGCCCUCCACUGGUUAGAAAAAGAAUAUAUCAAUCCAAACUGGUUGCAUUUAAUGCUGCAUUGCAGUUUAUUUUGUCCAAGACCAGUAAAGUCUUAGACCAGAGGCUUGGUGGUUAUAUUGCAAUGGCAUCUGAAAGAGAAAUAACUUUAACUUCUUCAGUUCCUUUCCUGGAUGAGUCUGUUCCAGAGGAUUCUCCUUCAGAGGACACAGACUUAAAGUCCUUAAGCGAUGGUUUUGUUCCUGAGGAGAUUUUCAUGGAGAAACCAGACUACUUUUAACUAGCUCUCUUAUUCUUCUAUCCGGCUAGUUCCAGCUAAGAUCGUUAGCCCUUUCUAUGUUAUGUUUGCAAUUACUGAGGUUAAAAAUGUAAUCCAGGUAUAUAGUCCCUAGACCCGUGUUUAAAAGGUACUAUCAGUGCUGUCUUAACAUGACAUAAAGUACAGAGGACAAUGUACUUUUGUCAACCACUGUAAAUGUGUUCUUAGACUUUUACAAACUGCUUUAAAUAAGUACAGUUUUUUUCUGAGUUAUUUCAGUGCUUAACAUGUGGCUUGAGUAGAUCACUUUCACAAAAUUGUCUGUAGACUUAUAUAAAAAGCUUGGACAUAGUUUAACAUAAUUUCUAUUUACUUCUUAUAUUCUUGAGGAUUAUUCCCCUAAUUCAAAGUAUAACACUCUAGGACUGGGUAAUUUAAAUCAACUAAAUGCCUCAGUUGAAUGCAAUGAUUAAAAUGAAUAUAGUGCAUACCUCACAGUUGCCUACAUGCAUAUGAAUUUUCCUCAACAGUUCCUAUGUUCAAACCAAAUAUGAUGACCAAAUUAUAUCACAAGUAUAAUUGUGCUGGAAGUUAUGGGAAAAGGAGGGAAAUGACUUGAAUGUAUGAGUGAAUUCCAAGGUAAAAAUAAUAAUAAAUAUCAUUUUUCUAACCCUUAUGUAUAUGCAGAGGUUUGUUUUUGUUUUCUUCAUACUACUUUUAGGAAAAAAGGAAAAAAUACUACUCACUUCUAUCUCAAUGUAUAACUCAACUGUUUAGAUUUUCCAGAAAGUUAUUUGAAUUGUAUUUUAGCCCUGUGGGAGAAGUUUCUUAUCAUCAUCAGAAGUGUCAAGACUUUUUGUAAGAGCCUAAUGAGAUGUAGAAACACCUGAAGUUACUUGUAUUUAAAAUCAUGUCUUAUCAGAUUGUUUCAAAGCUUUCUUCAUCUUUGUUAUCAAAGUUAUAUUUGCCUAUAAAAUAAAUGUUUGCUUAUAGAUGAA